GACCAUCUGCCCAGGGGUGACAGGUGCCACAGUUAGCUGAUCCUUCCCACAUCAAUCAUUAAUCAAGAAAAUGCUGCAACUGGCAUGCCCAGAGACCAAUCUGAUGGAGGCAACUUGAGGCUCCCUUUUCCCAGGUUCCCAAGUUCAAAGGGUAGGGACCAGAUGGAGGUCUCCAGUUUGGGCUCUCUCUCUUUCUGCCUGAUGUUUGGCUGUGGGUCUCUGCAUCCGCUCCUUGGGGGCUUCCAACACCAGAAAGAAAAGGAGACUGUGGAAUGUUGGCGGGUUUAUAAAAGUCUUCUGCCUGCAUGCCAGCAGAGGGCACCAGAUCUCAUUCAAGGUGUUUGUGAGCCACCAUGUGGUUGCCGGGAAUUGAACUGAGGGCCUCUGGAAAAGCAAUCAGUGCUCUUAACCGCUGAGCCAUCUCCAGUCCUGGAUUUUUUAAGAAAGGAAGAAAGAAAGAGAAAGAACAGUCAAAGAUGUAAGGGAAAAUACCAACUUGCCUACAAAGGAAUAUACAUCAAAAUAACAUCAGAUUCCUCAUCUACAAUUCUAUAGGAAAGCAUGGAACAGUGUAUGCAGGCAAAAAAUCUGCCAACUAAAGAUUGCUGUAUCCAAAAAAGCAAUCUUCAAAAACCCACAGUAAAUGAAGGAAGUUUCAAGAUAAGAUAAACUGAAGCAGUUCCUAACCACCUAGCCAUCAUGCUGCAGAAGAUACUUAAAGGAAUCCUAUUCAUGGAGGAACAAGAAAGGGCAUCGAUCAGGAAAGAAAACAUUUCAUAAGAGGAAUGCAUGAACAAAGGAGAUCCAGGAAGGAAUCUAUUGUUCCAACACAGUAAACAUCCACAACUAAGGAGAUGAACAAUGAAAGACCCAACCAACCAGAAAGCACAUGCAACAAAUUAACAGGGGUUAAUAAACAUCACUCAACAAUAACCUUAAAUAUAAAUGGCCUUGAUUCAUCAGCAAAAGAUUCAGACUGGCUAACUGCAUCUAAACACUAUGUCCAAGUAUCUGUUGUUUUCAGUAACCACACUUCACUGGCAAAUACAUCCACAGUCUGAGAUUCCAAGGAUGAGGUCAAUCUUUUAUAAUGAAGAUGAUGAUUAUGACAUUGCCUUUAAAAAUAUUUGUGCAUGUGCUAUUGUGCAUGUGUGGAGGUCUUGGGUCAACUCCUUCUAACAUGUGGGUCCCAGGUAUCUAACGCAGGUCACUGCAGAUGCUGCUCUCACUGAUCCUAGCUUACAUGGCUUCCCCACUCUAUUCCCAGCUCUAUUCUGCAGCAUGGGUAGAAUUUAAUACUGACAUUUUAUUGAGCCCUGUACUUAAAUACACGUGUACAUGUCUCCACUGUUCUUGAAGAAAGGGAUGUGCCUUGUGCAGUGCAUCUUCCCCAGAAUGGCUGUGUUUUCCCAGUGCUGAGUGGUACUUGUAAGAACUGGUUGUGUGAAUAAACAAAACAACAGAAUGAUGAUGAGUCUUGCACUUUGGCAGCUUCCUGAGGUGCAGAACCCAACUUAGGGCAGCCACAUAGACAACAAAGUCAAAGAAAUAUAAAGCAUGCUAGGCUCUGGAGAGAUCAUAGACAGAUGGGAAAGGAAGGGAAGAAGACUUAAACCCAGAAUAACUGGCCAAGCAUUAAGUGAUCAGAGUUUAAAAAAAAAAUGUGGGCGCAUAGUGAAUGAAGAAAUAAUAGUG
ensembl:lincRNA